rnacentral:rRNA from 1 species
GAUGAACGCUGGCGGCGUGCCUAACACAUGCAAGUCGAGCGAUUCUCUUCGGAGAAGAGCGGCGGACGGGUGAGUAACGCGUGGGUAACCUGCCCUGUACACACGGAUAACAUACCGAAAGGUAUGCUAAUACGAGAUAAUAUACUUUUAUCGCAUGGUAGAAGUAUCAAAGCUCCGGCGGUACAGGAUGGACCCGCGUCUGAUUAGCUAGUUGGUAAGGUAACGGCUUACCAAGGCGACGAUCAGUAGCCGAGCUGAGAGGGUAAUCGGCCACAUUGGAACUGAGACACGGUCCAAGCUCCUACGGGAGGCAGCAGUGGGGAAUAUUGCACAAUGGGCGAAAGCCUAAUGCAGCGACGCCGCGUGAGCGAUGAAGGCCGUCGGGUCGUAAAGCUCUGUCCUCAAGGAAGAUAAUGACGGUACUUGAGGAGGAAGCCCCGGCUAACUACGUGCCAGCCGCCGCAGUAA